rnacentral:rRNA from 1 species
GUGGGGAAUCUUCCGCAAUGGACGAAAGUCUGACGGAGCAACGCCGCGUGAGUGAAGAAGGUUUUCGGAUCGUAAAGCUCUUUCGUUAGGGACGAACGUGCUCUUUGUGAAUAAUGAGGAGUAAUGACGGUACCUGAAUAAGAAGCCACGGCUAACUACGUGCCAGCAGCCGCGGUAAUACGUAGGUGGCAAGCGUUGUCCGGAAUUAUUGGGCGUAAAGCGCGCGCAGGCGGGAUAUCAAGUCUGUCUUAAAAGUGCGAGGCUCAACCUCGUGAGGGGACAGAAACUGGUAUUCUUGAGUGUCGGAGAGGAAAGUGGAAUUCCAAGUGUAGCGGUGAAAUGCGUAGAGAUUUGGAAGAACACCAGUGGCGAAGGCGACUUUCUGGACGAUGUCUGACGCUGAGGCGCGAAAGCUAGGGGAGCGAACGGGAUUAGAUACCCUAGUAGUCC